rnacentral:rRNA from 1 species
AAUAUUGGUCAAUGAGCCCAAGCCUGAACCAGCCAUGUCGGGGCAAGAAAAAAAACAUAUGGACGUAAUCGCUUUUUUACGGGAAUAAUUGUCUUUACGUGUAGGGAUUUGAAGGUACCGUAUGAAUAAGGAUCGGGUAACUUCGUGCCCGCCGCCGCGGUAAUACGGAGGAUUCGAGCGUUAUCUGGAUAUCUUGGGGUUAAAGGGUCCGUAGGGGGGCAAUUAAGUCAGUGGUGAAAUCCCAGAGGUUCAAUCGAGAAAUGCCAUUGAUAACGGUUGUCUUGAAGUCUGGGGAGGUGGGGGGAAUACGCUAUGUAGCGGUGAAAAGCAUAGAUAUUACGUAGAACCCCCAUUGGGAAGGCAGCUCACUAAAAUAAUAUUGACGGUGAAGGAAGAAAGGGUGGGGAGCGAACCGGAUUAGAUACCCUGGUAGUUCACGCCGUA